rnacentral:rRNA from 1 species
GCGAACGCUGGCGGCAGGCCUAACCCCUGCAAGUCGAACGGAUCCUUCGGGAUUAGUGGCGGACGGGUGAGUAACACGUGGGAACGUGCCCUUUGGUUCGGAACAACUCAGGGAAACUUGAGCUAAUACCGGAUGUGCCCUUCGGGGGAAAGAUUUAUCGCCAUUGGAGCGGCCCGCGUCUGAUUAGCUAGUUGGUGAGGUAACGGCCCACCAAGGCGACGAUCAGUAGCUGGUCUGAGAGGAUGAUCAGCCACACUGGGACUGAGACACGGCCCAGACUCCUACGGGAGGCAGCAGUGGGGAAUCUUGCGCAAUGGGCGAAAGCCUGACGCAGCCAUGCCGCGUGAAUGAUGAAGGUCUUAGGAUUGUAAAAUUCUUUCAGCGGGGACGAUAAUGACGGUACCCGCAGAAGAAGCUCCGGCUAACUUCGUG